CUGUUGAUUUUCACUGAUUUGAUUUCUAGAUCGGGUCUGGUUCUUGCUUUUUUCUUGCUAGAUGGUAGAUCGGGUCUGGUUCUAUUUUUUCUUGAUUUUUAGAUCAGUUCAUCUGUUUCUAGAAUUUGAAGACAUGAGAUGGGAAAUACUGCUUGAAAUUGGUAUGGGAAAUACUGCUUGAAAACUGCCCAAACAAACAUUUAAGUGGCAAAUAUGGAGCCUAGCCUGCACUUUUGUAUAUUGUACCGGCUGUUAUUGGAUUCUUGGCUGCUCACUGUGUAUGGAAUGGAGAUGUCAAACCGUUAUUGGAGUUUGACGAGUUGAAGACUGCGGUUACGUCUGAAGAUGGUAGUGAUGACAAAUCCAGCAAGAAGGUUGAAUGAGUUAGAAGCAGAAACCCUUACACUGAAACCAUUUUAUUUUAGCUUUGAGAAGGAUAUAGCGUUCACUUUUAGUACUACUAAUUAUGUAUUUAGACAAUAUUAUUAAUUUCUCGUACUCAUUAUGGUUUCGAAGCAAUUUAUAAUUAUUCAAUACUUGUUUUUUUAACACAAUUACAAAUAAUUUAUUUGAUAUUAGUUUUUUUUAAUUUAAGGA